rnacentral:lncRNA from 1 species
GAAUUCAGAAGAGGGAUGAUAGCUCCAUUUACAGCUUUAAUUGUGAAGCCACAGAGCUGAGCCCCAGCGAUAAGCAGAGGGGUCAUCAUGUGGGACAGACGCAUCUUUCUUUCAUGCUGGCGUUUUUGUGGCCAGUGUUUGGCUUGAUGUGGUGGUCCUUCUGUUACGGAAGACCAAUGAUGUCACAAAUGAGGGAUGUCUUGAGUAUUCUGAUCAAGGAAGGGAUUGGAGGGGAGAGCUGGAUCAUAGACUUUAUAAGAACUCGUACCUUUCUUCCUGACUUCAGCUGAUGUCAUUUCUUCCAUCCAUCAGAUGAUUUUCAGGCAGUCCUGGGACCUUUGAUGACCAGAUAAGAGAGGUCCUAUCUGAGGCUGGGGAGAAAUGAAGGUCCAGGGCUCUUGUGUGGUCUCCAUGCCUAAUAAGGAGAGACUGUGCAUGGCAGCUGUGAGCGCGCAUCCUCGUUGCUAUGGCAACUCUGGCUUUAGGGUUUCCCAAUUUGGAUUCCUAUGUUUGUUUUUCUACCUUUCCCAAUGCACCAGCCGGACUAGGCUGGCUCCCUCCCUUCCUUUCCAAAGAAAACAUGAGAAAACUUAAAUCUUGAUGAGGACUGGCUCCUUGGGUCCAGGGAUUAAAUUUGAGGCCCAUUGGGAAGGGAUUUGGGAUAUAGAUUAUGCUCAGGUCUUUAUUUUCAGCGUAUCAGUCACUGUAAUGUAUGGAGUAUGAUGAUCAUGGACGCAGUGAUUGAGAGGCAAGGUGCAACUUAAUGGGCAAGAAUUUCCAGACCUAGGAACAAUGGAUCAUCCAGGACCUUGGCAGCUAAAUAUUUUUAAAUUCUGUUUGGGGAGUCCUCUGUGUUUUUCUCUUAUUUAAAGUUCUUCAUUUAUUUUAUCUAAUAUCCUCCAAUGAGAAAGGAAAAUGAACACUUUAGAUACCUGGUUGGAGGGUUCACUGAAGGGCUACUGGAAAACUUUGAAACUAGAGGCAGAAGCUCUCCCUGCAGAUUGUCUUGCUGCCCAUUCCCAAUUAGAGAUGAAGAAAGGAAGUGCCUUACACGCUACAAUGGAUGCUCUACUUUCUGCAACAGAUGUUGUAAAUUGAGUCUUUUUAAAUGUACAAGAGAG